rnacentral:rRNA from 1 species
UACGUAGGGGGCUAGCGUUGUCCGGAAUCAUUGGGCGUAAAGCGCGUGUAGGCGGCCCGGUAAGUCCGCUGUGAAAGUCGGGGGCUCAACCCUCGGAUGCCGGUGGAUACUGUCGGGCUCGAGUACGGAAGAGGCGAGUGGAAUUCCUGGUGUAGCGGUGAAAUGCGCAGAUAUCAGGAGGAACACCAAUUGCGAAGGCAGCUCGCUGGGACGUAACUGACGCUGAGACGCGAAAGCUAGGGUAGCAAACGGG